rnacentral:lncRNA from 1 species
UAACACCCCUAAAAGGCCACAAUCACAUUGAUAUUGGGUGGUGAAACACACGUAAUUUUUUUUUAUCAAUUCUUUACUCCAUUCUUUUGUUCUUCUUUUUUUCCCUUUCUCUUCAUUUUAUUUUCUUCAAUCUCAAACCCUUUUCCCCCUUUCUUUUCAUCUUCUUUUCUUCAAUCUUAAAAGCCAAAAUGUGAAUACCCAUCUGCCAAUUUUUUUUCUUUUUCUUUCUUUCUUUCUUUAAAAAAAAAUAAUUUAUCAACUAUGAAAAUUGAUGUUGAAUUUAUGAUGAAAUUCAUAAUUUGAAUUAGAAGAUUUGUUUGAAUUGAAGUGUGGUGAAAAAUAACAUUGAUGGUGAAAAAUAACAUUGUAUUGAUAAUAUAAUGUUGUCUUAAAUAGUCUUAAUUUUUUUU